UUUAACAUCAAUUGCAGCCUUCGUUUUUCUUUAGCAGUUUCGUGUCCCUUCCAUGUCCUCCAUCUUCGUUCCGUUACAUCUCCCUUUUUCUCUAAAAGAAUUACCAAGCUUCAUAUCCAAUCUCAAGCUUCCUUAGUUUCGACUGACACAUAAAGAGAUUGCUAAGAAUUGGAAAUUGUAAACUGAUUGUGAAGAAUCAAAAUCAGCAACAACAAGAAGAGGAUGGAUAACAUCUAAAGAACUCCUCAUAGCACAAGUAAGUUAUGCAUUCAAGAUAUAUGCUAUGUUUAUAAGGAAAAAACAUAUAAUAAAUGAAAAUAUGUACAAUUAUGGAUAUAAUUGGGUCUGAAAUAGAGCAAAAGAAUCUAGGUUGGGCUGUGAGGAGCAAUAAGGUGGGAAAAUGAGGCUAGAAUGCAAACCAAACCUCUAGAAAUCUGCACUUUAAAGAAAUGCACUGUUCGACAAAAGUCCUAUAUGUACUGUUUUGAUUGAAAACUAAAUAUUAUUCAUAACUAAAGCUUGUGCUAAACACACACACACACACACACACACACACACACACACACACAUAUAUAUAUAUAUAUAUAUAUAUAUAUAUAUAUAUAUAUAUAUGUGGGUAAGGAAAUCGUACCUUGCUAGGGUUAGGGUUUCAUGUUGGCUGAGGAGGAGAGAAAUCCACAAAGAGCACGGAAUUGAGUGGUUGAUUGAAGAGGGGAGAACGACAUGUGAGCGAUUACUCUAACGACGCGCGGUAGAACUCCUAGAAUCCGGGAACCGUGUUAGGGUAGCAGGGAUUCCAAGAGUCUUCUUGAGUCCUUCGAGUUGAGAGAAUGUCCAAACCCCUUUAGUGUUUUUAGGUGGAAUCUCCAAGCCUUUAAGUCACCAAAAAGGGUCCCUUUGAUCUUCCAAGAGUCCAAGUCUUGAGUCUGAAGAGAAGUCCCCCUCCCAAUGGAAUGGAAGGGGUAUUUAUAGGGUUUUCUGAAAAGUAGUCAUGUGCGAGGCACAUGCUUUCAGGGAAAUUCCAGAAAUACCCUUUAGUCAUUAGAAUAAUGCCCAUAUUGUUCUGUCCUUCUAGCCACCAAUCCAAUCCCUCAAUCAAUUUUCAAAUCGAGCUGCCUCCACGAGCCUUCUGCCUCGGGACACGUGGAGGCUUCUCUCGGGUCUAACACAUUUAUUUUUGACUUUUUUGUCUUCAUUCCAUUAGGUUAUGCGAACUCUAAUUUGCACAUUUAAUGAGGUCGUAGACCCUAAUUGCGCAUUUAAUUCAAUUAGGUCAUGUGAACACUAAUUUUACACUUGGGCCCACAUUUGCCCCCUGCGUAAGAGUCGCAUUUCCAAAUAGACGAUCGUGCAAGAAAACUGCAAGCCUUUGAACGAUUUUGCGGGACUUCACUUUACAGGUCUUGAAGACAAUGGUCCUAGAAGAGGGAACCCCUAGGGAGCCAAACCCUUAGAGUUAAACCCUAAGAAGGCAAGACCUAGCAAGGCUCUUCCUUGGACAUAUUGAACUCUUCUGAAAUCUUUCUGUAUCUUGCCCAAUAUUUGUUCCCUUGAAACAAAAUCAAGAUAAAUUAAAUUGUAUAUUAACAAAUAAAAUCUUAUUUUAUUUUUGAAAAUCAAAUCCUUUCAAAGAUUUUGGAAAUAAAAUCAAAACAUUCCUAUUUAAAAAAUAGGAUAUUUGUUUCAAUAAUAAUAAUAAUAUUUUUUUUAAAACAUCUCAACUUUAUAUGUAAUAUAAUAUAUAUAAUGAAUCAAUAUUACUAUUCUACAAUUACCUAAUAUAUAAAAUAUUGUUUUAUAAUCUAUAUGUAUUCAUAAUUGAUUGACUUUUGUAAAAGUAAUAAUCAACAAUAUGAUACAUUUAUAAUUAAAACCCAUAGGAUUUUACUCCUUAUAUAUAUAUAUAUAUAUAUAUAUAUAUAUAUAUAUAUAUAUAUAUAUAUGCAAUAAUCUUCCUAAUAAAAAAUCUUUAUUUUGAUACACCAAGUCUUUCCUUUUUAUCAAAUCAAAUAUUUUAUUUCCAAAAUAAAAUCAAAUCUUAAUUUUAUAGAAUCAAAUCUUAAUUUUAUAAAAUCAAAUCUUAAUUUUAUUUUGGAAAUUAAAACUUUCUUUGUUUUGGGAAUCAAAUCAAAUCUUUCUUAAUUUGAAAAGAGAUUUUUUUUUAAAACAAAUAAAACCUUUACUUAUCUUCUUUUGGAGAAGUAAGGAAUCGAUGUUCAUAAUCCAUGGCCGCAUGUCUUGCUUCUGAAUCGUAGUAGGGAGUUUUGUUGCCGCAUUACUUGGUGCACUUUUUUAUUUGCAGUAAUAAGGAACCCAUCAUUUGAAACGCUUUGCUUGAUUAACCGUUGCACAACAAUACAUCAGUCCCACUUCGGUAAGCAUGCUUUUAAUAUUUCCUUGCAUCAUUGAAGGCUGUAAUAAGCAUGUUUUAUUUCCUUGCAAUACAAUUGACACCUUCCUUGGCAAUCAAAUAAUUUUGUGUGGCUGCCAAUUCACCUGCUUUGCUAAGUCCAUUACAAAAUGAGGUAACAUUUGGAAGCAUGUCAUGGCUCAACCUUUCGUGAUGUGAUUCAAGUUUUUUUUUUUUGAAUGUUGGCCAUUUUACAAGAACUGCAUAUCCAUUUGCAAGGCCCUAUAGGGGCCGAACCCUAUAGGGAGGUGCCGAACCCUAUGUGUGUGUGUGUGUAUAUAUAUAUAUAUAUUUGAAAUAAAAUAAAAUCUUAUUUUAUUAUUAUUUUUUUCGAAAAAAUAAAAUAAAAUCUUAUUUUAUUUUUUUAGACAAUAAAUAUAACAUUUACUUAUCUUAUUUUUUUGAGAGGUAAGGAUUUGAUAUCCAUGACCACGUCUUGCAUCGCAAAUUGCAAUAGAAAAUCUGUUGCACCAAAAUGCUACAGGUCUAGAAGACCUGUCCCUCGUUAGCCAAAAGCAAGACCUGUACUUCAUUAGCCAAUAAAAUGCUACAGGUGCUACAGAUCAUAGACUUUUCCAACAGCAAGACAUGUCCCACGCUAGCCAAAAAAAAUUUCUUGUAUCCAAAAUGCUAGGUGCUGCUACUUUAUUUGUUUGCAACAUGAUUGUAUAGGCUAUUAGCAGCUCACGCCAAACCCUUCUGACUCACGCAGAACCCUUUUGAUUAUAUAGGCUAUAUGAAAUGACGGGUACUAAGAUUAUGUUCCUACCACCAUAAGAAGGAUGCUUGCUGGAGGCUUGGAUAAUUAUAUAUAUAUAUAUAUAUAUAUAUAUAUUAUUAUUUUUAAUUUUUUUUUGCAAUAGGACCAAGGGAAAUUGAUUAUAAUCGUCCUCUAAUUCAUAAUUCGUUUCGGUGACUUGCUUCCAAGAAAAAACCCUUGUUCACCGCCAUUAAAGGUCAAUUAUAGUAAUAAUCUUUGGAGAAAGACAAGAAACAGAGGGCUACCAUUACUCCCAUACCCAGAAUCGAGUUAUUUGAAGUGACUCAUCUGAAAUAAGGUCUUCCUCUUACAUAUAUAUACAUAACACGGGUACAUAGCUCCUCGCUCAAACCAAUACGUUACAUAUAUGAUGAAAAUAUGGCCUCUUUUGUUUGUACUAUUUUUUAUUCAAGUAACUCUAGUCUUUCUUUUGUCUUCUGAGCCCCAUUACCUUGAUUAUAUCUUGGUUUUUUCCCUCGGAUCAUGAAGAAAGAUUGGUGUUUUUCGACAAACCACGAAGGAAAAAAAUGCUUUUUCUUUCUUUUGUUUUUCGAGCCCCAUUACCUUGAUUACAUCUCGGUUUUUUCCCUCGGAUAAUAAAAAAAGAUUGGCAUUUUUUCGACGAUAACCCAAAGAAAUGGAAAAAAUUCUCUGCAUGCGACAAAAUUACUCCAAUUGGCCGAACCCUGGAGAACCGAACACUAGGGGGGCCGAACCCUAGGGAGGCCGGACCCUGGGGGGGCGAACCCUAAGGGGCUGAACCCUAAAGGGAAAUCAUAACUUUCACCUCGUUUGGAGUUUCGGGGCCCAUAAUAUAUCAAAACGAAGCUAGCGACGAGCCCUACAAAAUUCAUCACCUUUGACCCUGAUAGAUAUUGUUAUAAGUCAGAAAAAAGGCUUUGAAGGCUGCGUUUAGGCUGUCUAAAGUUUUUUUUUGCAAAAUUUCAGAAAUUUUUUCUUGCAUAUUUGUGAUUCCAAACUCCUUUUGACAUUAUUUUUUCUUCUUUUCAGGUGUCUUUGAGGUUAAAUAUCAGACCUUCCUUUUUGCCAUGGUGAGCACUUCUUUCCCCUUUGACAUCCUUAACAUCCUUACAUUAUUUAUGAUGAACUUUCCUUGCUUGUAGGCCCUUUCACCUAAAUGCUCUACAGAACCAAAAACCACCCGGGAGUCCCCCUUCAUCACUGAUUGGGGAAGGGCUCCCUUCUUCGGUCCUUCUGACACCUUAUGGGAUAGAGUUAAGGACUAUGACCGUACAACUUUUCCUUCACCAGAGAAAGAAGGCUUGUUUCUAUAUGUAGCGGCUUGUGGAGGUUGGGAUGUCUUUUCCCAUUCCUAUCGCAUUCCCCACAUAUACAUAGAGAAGCAAGAAUACCCUUUCAGUCCCCUUCGCUUCUUGUCUAAUUCAUCUGUUCGCCUUCAAGAAUGGCAGGAUUGAACUGACGAGAUCCUUGAAAACACUGAUUAUGUAGAUAUAUUCAAGAGUGCGGGCAUCUUUUGUUGUGUUCAACUAUACAGAGACCUACGUAUCCAACAGGACCAUAACGCCCUUAUUGUAUUGAUCUCACGAUGGUGCUCCUCUACUUGCACAUUCGUCGCUGCCUGGGGGUGGGGGGAUUGCACCUCUACGCUGGAGGAUGUCUAUGCCAUCUACCAGUAAGCAUUUUUUCCCCUACGCGUGAGUCACGCCUUUGGUGAGAUGAUCGCGCAAAAUAUUUUAAGUGUUAAAGUCUUGAUUCCAGUUUCUAAACACUUUGUGGGGCUUGAUGUUUUGCAAGCCUUAAAAACGAAAGUCCUAGGAGAGGGAACCUCUAGGGGAGCAAACCCUAGAAAGGCGAGCCUUAGAGGAGCUCUCCUAGGAUAUUUUGAAAAUCUUCGAUCUAAUCCCAUUGGGCUCUUUUGUGAGUAUCACAAAUAGGGAAACAGGUAUCGAGUCUUCUUCACCAUAUGAUGAUUGUGUCAGUCUUGAUGCUAGGGAUUCUUUGUCUGAUGUAAGCUCGGAUGACCUGCUGUGGGUGAUGCAACACUCUCUUCACGCCUUUUUACAACUUCUCCACAUAACAAUUUUGAGACUCCUGCUUCUUUGAGGCGGAAUCCUUCUGAGACUAUUGUUGAUGUUCAUCCUCCCAAGGAGGAUUUUGCCGAGUUGGUGAUUGUUCGGGAGGGUAUUGUGGAUAGUACUUUGGGUGGGUUAAAUGACCUUCCAUCUCCCGCGGCAUUUCUUAACUCUCUUUGGACAUGUGUCCCAUCCAUGCUAGGUUGGAUCUCUUUAUUUUCAAUCAUCAUGUUGUUGCACUUCAUUCGGAAAUCACUUCACGUCACCAUGAGAAUGACUUACUUUAUGUAGAGCUUCAGGAGCUUCAAGAUGCCAUGGAUAAAUUGAAGACUAAGCUUUUGGGAAAUUGAGUUAACUGCCUAAGACCUUGAAGGCCUGAUAGCCUCGAAGGCCUGAUAGCAUUGAAGUCCUGAUAGCCUCGAAGGCCUGAUAGCCUUGAAGGCCUGAUAGCUUCAAAGGCCUGAUAACAUUGAAGGCCUGAUAGCUUUGAAGACCUGAUAGCCUCGAAGGCCUGAUAACAUUGAAGGCCUGAUAGCCUCGAAGGCCUGAUAGCCUUGAAGACCAAGCUUUAGCUAUUCCACUCUCUUCAGUUCGACAGGUCAUGGCCUUUAGAUCAUGAACUUUUGUAGUUUUUUCCAUUUCCUGUAUCAGAAAAUUCAUGUACAUAUAUUUCAUUCAUCAAAUUGUUGUUUCUUUUAUCCUUAUUGAUUGCCUUUAAUUUGAAUGAUUCCUUAAAACUAAUCUUCAACAUUGGAUCUUAAGUUGUCCAAAUUAAUACUCCAAGACAACAAUAGGCCUCAUAAAUUUUGUUAAAAGAGAAAACAUGUUUUUUUUAUGCAAACCAACACUCGAAUCUAUACUUUUCUUUUUAAUAAAUCAGAAAAAAUAUCCAAGUAUAAGUGAAAGUUUGACAAAUUUAUUGAUAAACAGAUUGCUUUUAAUGAAAAGAAUAACAUUUUAUAUAACAAAUCUUGCUUUUAUCAGAAAAAGCAUAACGUUCACCACUUUUAGAGAUAAAGUGUAACUUUUUUUUCGGGGUUGAGGGCUUAUACUCAGGUGCCUCAAUCACUUUUAAAGUUGAAAGUGUAACUUCCGAGGACUUAUAGUCAGGUGCCUCGAUUACUUUUAAAGUUGAAAGUAUAACUUACGAGGACUUAUAGUCAGGUGCCUCAUUCACUUUUGAUGAUAAAGUGUAACACUCGGGUGCCUCGUCACUUGGGUCGUCCAAUUUCUUGGCAAGUGCGGUCUACGAGGACCUGAAAUCGGAUGCCUCGUCACUUGGGUCAUCUAAUUUCUUGGCAAGUGCAGUCUACGAGGACUUGAAAUCUUGGGUUGUCCAAUUUCUUGGCAAGUGCAGUCUACAAGGACUUGACCACCAUUUAGAGUGGACCACCAUCUUAGGUGGAUUUUUUUUUAAUUUGUCAAUUCUUGUGCCUCCUCCCUUGGUCAUCCAAUUACUUGGCAAGGGAUACUCCUGAGGACUUGAACCACCAUUUUUGGUGGACCACCAUCUUGGGUGGAUUUUUAAUUCAUCUUUAGUUCAGAGUUCUUUCAAUGGUAGAGCCAGUAUUUGGGUUCUUAACUUCCGGGACUGCACCAUGGGUGAUAGUGUUGCACGUCUCUUCUCCUAGUUCAAUCUCCCCGGCCGCUAGCUUCUCAUGGUAUAUCCUCCGCAAACUGUAACAGUCCAUAGUGGAAUGCUAUGCGUAUUGAUGAUAUACACAGAAGUCUGGUCUUCUUUUCAUCUCUUCCGUCAUAACCAACUGGGGCCUUGGAGGUUUCACCACUCCGUGCUCGACCCAUUGUUCAUACAGGUUCCUGAAUGCCUUCUCGCUGCAUGUGAUAGCCUCCGAAACUAGCAUUCUGGUAUACUUGUCCCCAUGCUUUACUCUGCUUCACUCAAAUUUCUCAUUUUUCUCUCUCUUGCCCCUUGUGGUUUUGAUUGAGAAUCCGCCAAAGCCACAGUUGUUGUCCUCUUGCCCUUCCAUAUAACCAUCGCAUGGCUGGUGGGAAAUGUUAUGAUUCCUCCAAAGUCUUGUGCAAAAGCUGAGAGGGUCGCAAAUGAAUCACAAGCUUUGGUAAUGAGGUGGGGCUUGAAGGCGUCUAAAGCACCAUUGUUGCAUAUGUUAACCAAGUUCUUUUCUUCAAUUGGCUCUGCACACUUCUGUGCUUGGGCCCUGAACCUAUCCACGUAAUUUGAUAGCUCUUCGUUUGGUUUCUGCUUAAAUCGCAUGAGUUCUACGAUGGUUAGCUAUUUCUGCACAGAAAAAUUUCUUAAAAAAUUGUAAUUUUAGAUCAUCCCAAUCAUGGACUGAUCCCUUCUCCAAGUUGUAGUACCAACUGAAGGCAUUAUCCGUCAAAGUCUUGUUGAAUUUCCUCAUCAACAAAUUAUGAUUGUUCAUUUCAUCAUAUCCUAACCAUGGAGACAUCGACUCCACGAACCUGGCAAUGUGUUCCCUGGCAUUUUCUUUCUCUCCACUAUAUUUUGGAAAUUGAGGGGGAUGCUCGAUAUACCCUGUCGGGUAAGGUUGUCUCCGAAUAUGUUCUGGGUAAGGUGGAGUAAAGUCUAACUCUAAAGGUCGGGAUGUCUGCUUGUGAAGUUGAUUGAUCACAUCGAUCAUAUCAUCCUUUGUCAUAUAUUGGCUCGUGGUAUGGACUCUCUAUGGUGUUGUUAUGUAUGGCGACAUUGGUCGUGUGUAGAAUACAGAAAUUCGUUGACAUACACUGGCAUCAUGUAAAUUCUGUAUCGGUUGUGCUUGUGGGGUGGUUCGUUGGACGAGGCUUGGGAUGGUUGGUAUCUGCACUUGUGAAAAUGCGGGGAUAGUGGUCGGAAUGAUGUUUGUCUGAGGCUGGCUGACUUCUCGUCUGGGUUGUGGCAUGUCACCACUGUCCUGAGGUUCCAAAUGGAUGAUUGGAACAGACUGAUUCUCCGUCAAUGGAGGUGUAGUCUGAUUCUCCUUAUAGUUGUUAUCGUUGUUGUUGUCCUCCACUCCUAGUUUUUUUCUCUGUGAAUUGUCUGGGAACAUGGCCUUGAAAGCGAGGAUCUGCAUCAACUGUUGGCGGAAAUUUCCCAUUUCUUCUUGCUUCCUCUGCAUCUCCAGCAUCAUAGUCAUCAUCAUCCCUUGUCCUUCCUGUGAUUUCUUCAACGCCUUGAGCAUCUUCAGUUGCACAACAUUUGUUUGCUCUCCACUUUUUUCCUCGCCUGACCUUCCCUCGCCUGUCUACCUGACAUUCGUUGGUUGUUGAUCAGCCAUGUAUGGUGAUGUUGAACUUCCUUUCGAGGUGUCUUCAAGGAUGGGUUGAUCGAGAUUUAGAUUCACGUCUUGGAAAGCUUGACUUGCUUGCCUUGGGACUAGACCCAAUGAGGUAAUGCUAUUUGUUGGUAAAGCUCUUCCUGUUGCUCUCCCACUUCGAGUUGUGGGCAUACCCUUCACGAAUUCUACGUACACCUCCCCAGCAGAGUCGCCAAAGAAAUGUGGGCAAGGAAAUCAUACCUUGCUAGGGUUAGGGUUUCGUGUUGGCUGAGGAGGAGAGAAAUCCACAAAGAGCACAUAAUUGAUAUUGGUUGAUUGAAGAGGGAAAAACGACAGGUGGGCGAUUACUCCAACGACGCGUGGCAGAACUCCUAGAAUCCGGGAACCGUGUUAGGGUAGCAGGGAUUCCAAGAGCCUUCUUGAGUCCUUCGAGUUGAGAGAAUGUCCAAACCCCUUUAGUGCUUUUAGGUGGAGUCUCCAAGCCUUUAAGUCACCAAAAAGGGUCCCUUUGAUCUUCCAAGAGUCCAAGUCUUGAGUCUGAAGAGAAGUCCCCCUCCCAAUGGAAUGGAAGAGGUAUUUAUAGGGUUUUCUGGAAAGUAGUCAUGUGCGAGGCACAUGCUUUCAGGAAAAUUCCAGAAAUACCCUUUAGUCAUUAAAAUAAUGCCCAUAUUGUCCUGUCCUUCUAGCCACCAAUCCAAUCCCUCAAUCAAUUCCCAAAUCGAGCCGCCUCCACGAACCUUCUGCCUCGGGACACGCGGAGGCUUCUCCUGGGUCUACCACAUUUAUUUCUGACUUUUUCGUCUUCAUUCCAUUAGGUUAUGCGAACCCUAAUUUGCACAUUUAAUGAGGUCAUAGACCCUAAUUGCGCAUUUAAUUCAAUUAGGUCAUGUGAACCCUAAUUUUACACUUGAGUCCACAAUAUAUAUAUAUAUAUAUAUAUAUAAGAAUGUGAUCGUAUAUACUUAAAAUAAUAAAUUUAUUCCCACANNNNNNNNNNNNNNNNNNNNNNNNNNNNNNNNNNNNNNNNNNNNNNNNNNNNNNNNNNNNNNNNNNNNNNNNNNNNNNNNNNNNNNNNNNNNNNNNNNNNAUAUAUAUAUAUAUAUAUAUCAUAUAUGAUGAUAAAUAAAGAGUUUUGACAUAUCAAUUGGAAACGAAAAUCAAUUUCAAGCCAAAAAAAAAAAAGAAAUUAAAAAUUUGUAUGCAAGUCACUUUCAAGCACUGUUUUGGGCAGCGUAAAGAAUCCGAAAUGGAGAGUUUAUAACUUCUAAAUAUAAAUGGGCAUGAGGAAACAGGGCUGCUGCCCAUGACAGCAACAGUUUUCAUGGUUGGGCGAUGGCUGGGGUCUUCCUUAGCUCUCAGUCAACCCAUUUUAGUUAAUCAAAUUGCUUAGCUAAUGUGUCUCAAUAUUAGGUGAAUAUAUCAUCUACGUUAGCUUCAAAAUCCAAUACAAACAAAUCAAGAAUGUGGGGAUUGGGGAAUAGAAGAUUUAGCAAGUGGGGAAUACAAACAAAUCAGUUGUGGCUAUUGGCUUGCUGUGUUCUGCUGUUGUUAUUUCUACUAUUCUCUGCUGUUGUUUCUUUUUAGUUUGUUGGGUAUGCUCUUGUUUUUUGGGCUGAGUCUCUCUUGGCUGCUUCUUCUGCAACUAAUGUUGGGGCUCCUGUUCACCUCCUCCUCCUGCUGCUAUUUUGGUUUUCUGUGGUGUUGGCUUGCACCCUAGCUGCUUCUCUUGGGUUUGUGUUGCUGUUCCUUGGUGGCUGAGCUGCUCUCAUUUCUGAUGCUUCCUUUUUGGCCUAUUGUGGCAGUUUUCUCGAAAUGUUAGAAUGUUAUUGUAAAAAAUGAAAAUUUUCUUAACAAUAUUGUCAUGCAAUGUUGUUGUUUCUCAUGUAUGUCGGCAUCUGACCUUAUAAUCUUUUAUAGUCAUGACAUCAUAGGGUCUGUCAUAUGACAUCUAUACUAUAUUUUGAUUGGGGUUUCUCAUGAUGUUUGUAC
rnacentral:lncRNA from 1 species